rnacentral:rRNA from 1 species
UACGGGGGGAGCAAGCGUUGUUCGGAUUUACUGGGCGUAAAGGGCGCGUAGGCGGUCAGCACAAGUCAGUUGUGAAAUCUCCGGGCUUAACUCGGAAAGGUCAACUGAUACUGUGCGACUAGAGUGCAGAAGGGGCAACUGGAAUUCUCGGUGUAGCGGUGAAAUGCGUAGAUAUCGAGAGGAACACCUGCGGCGAAGGCGGGUUGAUGGGCUGACACUGACGCUGAUGCGCGAAAGCCAGGGGAGCGAACGGG